rnacentral:rRNA from 1 species
UGAGGAAUAUUGGUCAAUGGGCGGGAGCCUGAACCAGCCAAGCCGCGUGAGGGAAGAAGGCCCUAUGGGUCGUAAACCUCUUUUGUCAGGGAACAAAAGCGAGUAUGUAUACUGGUCUGAGUGUACCUGAAGAAAAAGCAUCGGCUAACUCCGUGCCAGCAGCCGCGGUAAUACGGGGGAUGCGAGCGUUAUCCGGAUUUAUUGGGUUUAAAGGGUGCGUAGGCGGCGGUGCAAGUCAGCGGUAAAAGCCCGGGGCUCAACCCCGGCGAGCCGUUGAAACUGCAGUGCUAGAGAAGGCGAGAGGUACGCGGAAUGCGCAGUGUAGCGGUGAAAUGCUUAGAUAUUGCGCAGAACUCCGAUUGCGAAGGCAGCGUACUGGCGCCUGACUGACGCUGAGGCACGAAAGCGUGGGGAUCGAACAGGAUUAGAUACCC